AAAACAAGCAGCCUCAACUACACAGACAGGGAAUGAGAGGGCUUAAUUACUUUGUAAUUAAAAGUCCUUUUGGAAAGUUUUGCUUUAAGUUCUCAAACACUGUUCUUGUCCAUCAUAUUUCCACAUGGGAAUUGCUUGUGUUUUAAAAAUACAGCACAAAUCUGACUUUCUCCAGUAGGGUAGGAGGUUGGGGAGAACUUGGGGGGCACUCAUCACAUGCUAAGGACUUUACAUACAAGCUCUCUGUUCAUCUUGGUCAUCACCCUGUGAAAUAAUAUUCCAUCCAUUUCGCAUGACAGACAGUCGAGGUUCCAGCAUGUGAAGUGAUCUGCUGAGGGCCACAGAGCUGGGAAAUGGCAGAACCAAGACUCCAACCCAGGCUGUCUCACUCCCAAUUCAAAGUGCUUUCCAUUUAUCAAGUUUUACAAACAUGUUUAAAUUAUCUAAUAGGAACAGUCAGUUAAGCCAUGCAGCUGGGUUUUCCCUAAUUAUAAAGCAUAAUUGUGGAACUUUUUAAGUGACUAUUUUGUGUCUGAAACCACUAUUGAAAUAGGGGCUAAGUCUUAUCUUUCUUAUUAUUCUGAUUCUUAGCCUCUUGUUCCAAUCCUCUCUCCUCAUGGUUUCCAAAUAAUCUCCUCCUUUCAUGGACACUUGUCUUACUUCAUUACAGAGUUUCACUUCUCUCCCUACUUUUGGAACUGAAUAGAACCAAGAGAUGCUGAGUCAAGUACUAAAAUAGUAUCAGUGUUCCCAGUCGUUCAUGGUGGGGGGUCAUGCUCCCACAUGUGAUAGGUAGCAGCAUAUUUACUUCCCAUGUUUAGUUCUGAGGCUGCUUCUACAAAUUUUUGCCAUUUGAUAUGAUAAUCUGGCCAAACAUUAAGAGAGCUUCUAUCUAUGUGGCCUUAAGUAGUAACCAAAGAAUUCUGAAGCAAGAUCCUCUGCAAGUGUGUGUACAAAUAAAUAUGAUGUGUGAAGGUCACAAAAUCCAGGUUUUAAGUAGUUAUUCCAGGUCACACAGUUCUAAAGCAACAUGGUCUAUAUUAUAAAGCAAGUUUCAUUUAGUUCCUAGGCUCCUAAGAACUUGGCUAUUUUGUCCCUCAACCAGAACUGACUGUAAGCAAAAAUAUGAAGACUCUAAUAAAAGAGGACUCAAAGCAUACACAUAUCAUGUAUUGAAGACUGACUCUUAGAAUGUGUGAGUUGUUCUAUGUUUUCGAUUAAUUGGGUGCAAACUGUCAAACCCAUCAUAUAAUUUUAUGGAAAACAAAUCCAGUAUGAAUAUAGAGAAAAAGAGGUACAGAGGUAGAACAGCUAUUUUUGUUAUUUGUGCUCUUUGUAUCCCUACUGCUUGCUUAGUAUCUGGUACACAGAAGCACUCAAAUAUUCAUUGGAAAUCUGAAUCACUAAAUGUCCACAAAGAUUAACAGGUAAGUGUCGGCUCCUAAAGUUCCUUGUGAAUCCUUUCUUUCUCUCCUUCUCUUAGCUAUCCUGCUAUCCUUAAAUAUAAAAGUUUCAAGAUUCAGUGGUUUGGGGUACUGUAUGUAUUCUCCCUCUUUCCAGACCCCACCUUGUAAUGAGUUUUCUGCACUAGGCUACUUGAUGAAAGCAUCUGUGCUACUUUCAAAGACAACUGGUUUAUACUUGAAAAAUUACUGAAAAAGGUUAUGAAGUGGAAAAUCAUGGUAGAGUUCUUUGAUAAACUGGUCCUGGAAGGAAGAAGGAACACUGGCAUGCCAGGACCUGGGCUGGAUACUGAUGCAUAUAUAUUGUCUUACCUCACCCUUUCAAAACAUGACUGGUUUCAUAUCAUUACCCCAUCUUACUAGUGGGGAGGCAAACCAUCAGAAAAAGAUGGUGAGGUCACACAGUAAAUGUUUGGCAGAGUCAGGAUGGAAAUCUAGGUAUUUCAAUGCUCUUUUUAUUAUUCCUCAGCUGUUCCUGAAAAUGGCAUGUUAAAUUACAAAACAACAAUGACCAGAAGCCUUGAAUCCACUUGAAGUAUGUGAAUUUAACAGGUUAUCACUCUGGAAAAAUAAAACCCAAUACCUUAGUAAUAUAUUUGAUAACAUAACUUUAUUUUUUCUUUGCCAAAUCUUGGUGAGUUAUUCAGUGCUGGCUAUGUUUUCCGUGGCAGCUGGUAAUCUUGGCUCAGGCAUGAGUGUUUACUGUAUGGUAAUUCAAAUGUGUUAAGUCCUCUAUUACACA